AUUGAACGCUGGCGGUAUGCUUUACACAUGCAAGUCGAACGGAUUUAAGGAGCUUGCUCCUUAAGUUAGUGGCGAACGGGUGAGUAAUAUAUCGGAACGUACCGUGUAAUGGGGGGAUAACGUAGCGAAAGUUACGCUAAUACCGCAUACGCUCUUCGGAGGAAAGCAGGGGAUCUUCGGACCUUGCGUUAUACGAGCGGCCGAUAUCUGAUUAGCUAGUUGGUGAGGUAAGGGCUCACCAAGGCGACGAUCAGUAGCGGGUCUGAGAGGAUGAUCCGCCACACUGGGACUGAGACACGGCCCAGACUCCUACGGGAGGCAGCAGUGGGGAAUUUUGGACAAUGGGCGAAAGCCUGAUCCAGCCAUUCCGCGUGAGUGAAGAAGGCCUCGGUUGUAAG
rnacentral:rRNA from 1 species